CUCCCUGGAUUAGUGGCGAACGGGUGAGUAACACGUGAGCAACCUGCCCCUAACUCUGGGAUAACGCUUAGAAAUGAGUGCUAAUACCGGAUAUCAGCAUGGAGGACAUCCUUUGUGCUUGAAAGUUUUUCGGUUAGGGAUGGGCUCGCGGCCUAUCAGCUAGUUGGUGAGGUAAAAGCUCACCAAGGCGACGACGGGUAUCCGGCCUGAGAGGGCGACCGGACACACUGGGACUGAGACACGGCCCAGACUCCUACGGGAGGCAGCAGUGGGGAAUAUUGCGCAAUGGGCGAAAGCCUGACGCAGCGACGCCGCGUGAGGGAUGAAGGUCUUCGGAUUGUAAACCUCUUUCAGCAGGGACGAAGCGAAAGUGACGGUACCUGCAGAAGAAGCACCGGCUAACUACGUGCCAGCAGCCGCGGUAAUACGUAGGGUGCAAGCGUUGUCCGGAUUUAUUGGGCGUAAAGAGCUCGUAGGCGGUUAGACACGUCGGAUGUGAAAACUGGGGGCUCAACCCCCAGCCUGCAUUCGAUACGGUCUGACUAGAGUGUGGUAGGGGUAACUGGAAUUCCUGGUGUAGCGGUGAAAUGCGCAGAUAUCAGGAGGAACACCGAUGGCGAAGGCAGGUUACUGGGCCACCACUGACGCUGAGGAGC
rnacentral:rRNA from 1 species